rnacentral:rRNA from 1 species
GGUGAACGCUGGCGGUAGGCCUAACACAUGCAAGUCGAACGGCAGCACAGUAAGAGCUUGCUCUUACGGGUGGCGAGUGGCGGACGGGUGAGGAAUACAUCGGAAUCUACUUUUUCGUGGGGGAUAACGUAGGGAAACUUACGCUAAUACCGCAUACGACCUACGGGUGAAAGCAGGGGAUCUUCGGACCUUGCGCGAUUGAAUGAGCCGAUGUCGGAUUAGCUAGUUGGCGGGGUAAAGGCCCACCAAGGCGACGAUCCGUAGCUGGUCUGAGAGGAUGAUCAGCCACACUGGAACUGAGACACGGUCCAGACUCCUACGGGAGGCAGCAGCGGGGAAUAUUGGACAAUGGGCGCAAGCCUGAUCCAGCCAUACCGCGUGGGUGAAGAAGGCCUUCGGGUUGUAAAGCCCUUUUGUUGGGAAAGAAAAGCAGCAGGUUAAUACCCCGCUGUUCUGACGGUACCCAAAGAAUAAGCACCGGCUAACUUCGUG